AGCAGCCGCGGUAAUUCCAGCUCCAAUAGCGUAUAUUAAAGUUGUUGCAGUUAAAAGCUCGUAGUUGAAUUUCGGGGUUAGUAGGCUGGUCAUGCCUCUGGUAUGUACUGGUCUUACUGACUUCUCCUUUCUGAAGAACUGUAAUGCCAUUAAUUUGGUGUUGCAGGGAAUCAGGACUGUUACUUUGAAAAAAUUGAGUGUUUAAAGCAGGCUAACGCUUGAAUACAUUAGCAUGGAAUAAUGAAAUAGGACGUUCGAUCCUAUUUUGUUGGUUUCUAGGAUUGACGUAAUGAUUAAUAGGGAUAGUUGGGGGCAUUAGUAUUCAAUUGUCAGAGGUGAAAUUCUUGGAUUUAUUGAAGACUAACUACUGCGAAAGCAUUUGCCAAGGAUGUUUUCAUUAAUCAAGAACGAAAGUUAGGGGAUCGAAGACGAUCAGAUACCGUCGUAGUCUUAACCAUAAACUAUGCCGACUAGGGAUCGGAUGAUGUUAAUUUUUAUGACUCAUUCGGC
rnacentral:rRNA from 1 species